rnacentral:rRNA from 1 species
UACGGAGGAUGCAAGCGUUAUCCGGAAUUAUUGGGCGUAAAGCGUCCGCAGGUGGUGGUUCAAGUCUGCUGUUAAAGCGUGGAGCUUAACUCCAUACAGGCAGUGGAAACUGAAUGACUAGAGUUCGGUAGGGGUAGCGGGAAUUCCCAGUGUAGCGGUGAAAUGCGUAGAUAUUGGGAAGAACACCGGCGGCGAAAGCGCGCUACUGGGCCGAGACUGACACUGAGGGACGAAAGCUAGGGGAGCGAAAGGG